rnacentral:rRNA from 1 species
GAUUGUUGUAGGAUUUGGUGUUGUUACCGAAGAGAGUAAAACUCUAAAAAAGGCAAUAAUUGCUGCUGCUGCUGUAAUAAAUGAAGCCUUUUAUAUAGACCCUGACCUCGGAUCAGACGUGAUUACCCGCUGAACUUAAGCAUAUCACUAAGCGGAGGAAAAGAAACUAACCAGGAUCCC